rnacentral:rRNA from 1 species
CAUGAAGCCGGAAUCGCUAGUAAUCGCGGAUCAGAAUGCCGCGGUGAAUACGUUCCCGGGUCUUGUACACACCGCCCGUCACACCAUGGGAGUUGGGGAUACCCAAAGCCCGUGAGCCAACUUAUAAGAGGCAGCGGUCUAAGGUAGAAUCAAUGAUUGGGGUGAAGUCGUAACAAGGUAGC